UGCAUCAUUCCAGCUACUUCCGGGAAGAAGACCUCGUCGCCGUGCAAUUUUCCGGCGACUAAACAAUCUGUCAGUAUACCUAAACUACCUUUUCUGGUAGUGUUGUGCAAAAUCCGAGACCACCGCGUUCGGCUCACAAUUCCGACCAAACCCCAGAAAUUUCUCCGGCAGAAUCCCCGUCACGCGUUCCCACGCGCCACCACAGCUGUCGGCGCGUCAGACCACGCGCCGGCGCGUGGGGCUGUUUCCG
rnacentral:lncRNA from 1 species